rnacentral:lncRNA from 1 species
GAUUUCGGUGCUUCAGAUCUAAUUAAGUUUGGUCUUUGAGAGAUCUUCUUUAUACUCCGCCUUUCAACAUUAAUAAAGUAUUUGCUCCGUCUUUGUCCGUGGACGUAGGCCGUUGGCCGAGUUAUGUAAAUUUCGGUGUGGUCUUUUCUUUUCUUUUCUCUUCCUAUAUUAAGUAAUUUUCUGGAUCUAUUUUUCGUUGUUCCGAUUUUAACAAAAUUUUUUGUCCUACUCUAAUUGCUUCUCCAUAUUCUAAUUU